rnacentral:rRNA from 1 species
GACGAACGCUGGCGGCGUGCCUAAUACAUGCAAGUAGAACGCUGAAGGAGGAGCUUGCUUCUCUGGAUGAGUUGCGAACGGGUGAGUAACGCGUAGGUAGCCUGCCUGGUAGCGGGGGAUAACUAUUGGAAACGAUAGCUAAUACCGCAUAAGAGUAGAUGUUGCAUGACAUUUGCUUAAAAGGUGCAAUUGCAUCACUACCAGAUGGCCCUGCGUUGUAUUAGCUAGUUGGUGAGGUAACGGCUCACCAAGGCAACGAUACAUAGCCGACCUGAGAGGGUGAGCGGCCACACUGGGACUGAGACACGGCCCAGACCCCUACGGGAGGGAGCAGUAGGGAAUCUUCGGCAAUGGACGGAAGUCUGACCGAGCAACGCCGCGUGAGUGAAGAAGGUUGUCGGAUCGUAAAGCUCUGUUGUAAGAGAAGAACGAGUGUGAGAGUGGAAAGUUCACACUGUGACGGUAUCUGACCAGAAAGGGACGGCUAACUACGUG